GGCAGCGUGGCCGAGUGGUCUAAGGCAAUCGAUUCGAAAUCGAUGGACUCUGUCCCCACAGGUUCGAAUCCUGUCGCUGUCG
rnacentral:tRNA from 3 species